rnacentral:rRNA from 1 species
GGGUUGUGAGGUUAAGCGACUAAGCGUACACGGUGGAUGCCCUGGCAGUCAGAGGCGAUGAAGGACGUGCUAAUCUGCGAUAAGCGUCGGUAAGGUGAUAUGAACCGUUAUAACCGGCGAUUUCCGAAUGGGGAAACCCAGUGUGAUUCGUCACACUAUCAUUAACUGAAUCCAUAGGUUAAUGAGGCGAACCGGGGGAACUGAAACAUCUAAGUACCCCGAGGAAAAGAAAUCAACCGAGAUUCCCCCAGUAGCGGCGAGCGAACGGGGAGCAGCCCAGAGCCUGAAUCAGUGUGUGUGUUAGUGGAAGCGUCUGGAAAGGCGUGCGAUACAGGGUGACAGCCCCGUACACAAAAAUGCACAUGCUGUGAGCUCGAUGAGUAGGGCGGGACACGUGGUAUCCUGUCUGAAUAUGGGGGGACCAUCCUCCAAGGCUAAAUACUCCUGACUGACCGAUAGUGAACCAGUACCGUGAGGGAAAGGCGAAAAGAACCCCGGCGAGGGGAGUGAAAAAGAACCUGAAACCGUGUACGUACAAGCAGUGGGAGCACAGAGCAAUCUGUGUGACUGCGUACCUUUUGUAUAAUGGGUCAGCGACUUAUAUUCUGUAGCAAGGUUAACCGAAUAGGGGAGCCGAAGGGAAACCGAGUCUUAACUGGGCGUUAAGUUGCAGGGUAUAGACCCGAAACCCGGUGAUCUAGCCAUGGGCAGGUUGAAGGUUGGGUAACACUAACUGGAGGACCGAACCGACUAAUGUUGAAAAAUUAGCGGAUGACUUGUGGCUGGGGGUGAAAGGCCAAUCAAACCGGGAGAUAGCUGGUUCUCCCCGAAAGCUAUUUAGGUAGCGCCUCGUGAAUUCAUCUCCGGGGGUAGAGCACUGUUUCGGCAAGGGGGUCAUCCCGACUUACCAACCCGAUGCAAACUGCGAAUACCGGAGAAUGUUAUCACGGGAGACACACGGCGGGUGCUAACGUCCGUCGUGAAGAGGGAAACAACCCAGACCGCCAGCUAAGGUCCCAAAGUCAUGGUUAAGUGGGAAACGAUGUGGGAAGGCCCAGACAGCCAGGAUGUUGGCUUAGAAGCAGCCAUCAUUUAAAGAAAGCGUAAUAGCUCACUGGUCGAGUCGGCCUGCGCGGAAGAUGUAACGGGGCUAAACCAUGCACCGAAGCUGCGGCAGCGACGCUGAUGCGUUGUUGGGUAGGGGAGCGUUCUGUAAGCCUGUGAAGGUGUACUGUGAGGUAUGCUGGAGGUAUCAGAAGUGCGAAUGCUGACAUAAGUAACGAUAAAGCGGAUGAAAAGCCCGCUCGCCGGAAGACCAAGGGUUCCUGUCCAACGUUAAUCGGGGCAGGGUGAGUCGACCCCUAAGGCGAGGCCGAAAGGCGUAGUCGAUGGGAAACAGGUUAAUAUUCCUGUACUUGGUGUUACUGCGAAGGGGGGACGGAGAAGGCUAUGUUGGCCGGGCGACGGUUGUCCCGGUUUAAGCGUGUAGGCUGGUUUUCCAGGCAAAUCCGGAAAAUCAAGGCUGAGGCGUGAUGACGAGGCACUACGGUGCUGAAGCAACAAAUGCCCUGCUUCCAGGAAAAGCCUCUAAGCAUCAGGUAACAUCAAAUCGUACCCCAAACCGACACAGGUGGUCAGGUAGAGAAUACCAAGGCGCUUGAGAGAACUCGGGUGAAGGAACUAGGCAAAAUGGUGCCGUAACUUCGGGAGAAGGCACGCUGAUAUGUAGGUGAAGUCCCUCGCGGAUGGAGCUGAAAUCAGUCGAAGAUACCAGCUGGCUGCAACUGUUUAUUAAAAACACAGCACUGUGCAAACACGAAAGUGGACGUAUACGGUGUGACGCCUGCCCGGUGCCGGAAGGUUAAUUGAUGGGGUUAGCGCAAGCGAAGCUCUUGAUCGAAGCCCCGGUAAACGGCGGCCGUAACUAUAACGGUCCUAAGGUAGCGAAAUUCCUUGUCGGGUAAGUUCCGACCUGCACGAAUGGCGUAAUGAUGGCCAGGCUGUCUCCACCCGAGACUCAGUGAAAUUGAACUCGCUGUGAAGAUGCAGUGUACCCGCGGCAAGACGGAAAGACCCCGUGAACCUUUACUAUAGCUUGACACUGAACAUUGAGCCUUGAUGUGUAGGAUAGGUGGGAGGCUUUGAAGUGUGGACGCCAGUCUGCAUGGAGCCGACCUUGAAAUACCACCCUUUAAUGUUUGAUGUUCUAACGUUGACCCGUAAUCCGGGUUGCGGACAGUGUCUGGUGGGUAGUUUGACUGGGGCGGUCUCCUCCUAAAGAGUAACGGAGGAGCACGAAGGUUGGCUAAUCCUGGUCGGACAUCAGGAGGUUAGUGCAAUGGCAUAAGCCAGCUUGACUGCGAGCGUGACGGCGCGAGCAGGUGCGAAAGCAGGUCAUAGUGAUCCGGUGGUUCUGAAUGGAAGGGCCAUCGCUCAACGGAUAAAAGGUACUCCGGGGAUAACAGGCUGAUACCGCCCAAGAGUUCAUAUCGACGGCGGUGUUUGGCACCUCGAUGUCGGCUCAUCACAUCCUGGGGCUGAAGUAGGUCCCAAGGGUAUGGCUGUUCGCCAUUUAAAGUGGUACGCGAGCUGGGUUUAGAACGUCGUGAGACAGUUCGGUCCCUAUCUGCCGUGGGCGCUGGAGAACUGAGGGGGGCUGCUCCUAGUACGAGAGGACCGGAGUGGACGCAUCACUGGUGUUCGGGUUGUCAUGCCAAUGGCACUGCCCGGUAGCUAAAUGCGGAAGAGAUAAGUGCUGAAAGCAUCUAAGCACGAAACUUGCCCCGAGAUGAGUUCUCCCUGACUCCUUGAGAGUCCUGAAGGAACGUUGAAGACGACGACGUUGAUAGGCCGGGUGUGUAAGCGCAGCGAUGCGUUGAGCUAACCGGUACUAAUGAACCGUGAGGCUUAACCUUACAACGCCGAAG